rnacentral:rRNA from 1 species
CGCAGCCGCGGUAAUUCCAGCUCCAAUAGCGUAUAUUAAAGUUGUUGCAGUUAAAAAGCUCGUAGUUGAAUUUCGGGAUCAAUAUGUUGGUCGUGCCUUGGUACGUACUGGCAUUAUCGAUUCCUACCUUCUGAAGAACCUCGAUGUCAUUAAUUUGGUGUCUUGGGGAAUCAGGACUGUUACUUUGAAAAAAUUAGAGUGUUUAAAGCAGGCUCGCGCUUGAAUACAUUAGCAUGGAAUAAUGAAAUAGGACGUUUUGAUUCUAUUUUGUUGGUUUCUAGGAUCGACGUAAUGAUUAAUAGGGAUAGUUGGGGGCAUUAGUAUUCAAUUGUCAGAGGUGAAAUUCUUGGAUUUAUUGAAGACUAACUACUGCGAAAGCAUUUGCCAAGGAUGUUUUCAUUAAUCAAGAACGAAAGUUAGGGGAUCGAAGACGAUCAGAUACCGUCGUAGUCUUAACCAUAAACUAUGCCGACUAGGGAUCGGAUGAUGUUAAUUUUUAAUGACUCAUUCGGCGCCUUAA